UACGGGAGGCACAGUGAGGAAUAUUGGCAAUGCCCGAAAGGGUGACCCAGCAACGCCGCGUGGAGGAUGAAGGUCGUAAGAUUGUAAACUCCUGUUAGAGGGGAAGAAUAACUAAGUUUGGAGCUUAGUAUGACUGUCCCUCAGAGAAAGCCCCGGCUAACUACGUGCCAGCAGCCGCGGUAAUACGUAGGGGCAAGCGUUGUCCGGAUUUACUGGGUGUAAAGGGCGCCAGGCGGAAUGGAAAGUCAGUGGUGAAAUCCUCAGCUUAACUGUAGAACUCCUUUGAUACUUUCAUUCUUGAGUUCGGGAGAGAGAGACGGAAUUCCAGGUGUAGUGGUGAAAUACGUAGAUAUCUGGAAGAACCCAGUUGCGAAGGCGGUCUCUUGGUCCGAUACUGACGCUGAGGCGCGAAAGCGUGGGGGCAAACAGGAUUAGAUCCCUGGUAGUCCACGCUGUAAACGAUGAUUUCUAGGUGUGGGAAAUUAACUCAGUGCCCUUCUAACGCAAGAAGUAUUCCCCCGGAA
rnacentral:rRNA from 1 species